GGGUGGUCGAUCGUCUUGGUCGAUCAGGGUUUACGUUGGUCGGGCCGCCAGCG
rnacentral:ncRNA from 16 species